UAAUGUAUGGGGAUCUGCCCGAUAGAGGGGGAGUAACUAACUGGAAACGGUGGCUAAUACCGCAUAAUGUCUACGGACCAAAGCAGGGGCUCUUCGGACCUUGCACUAUCGGAUGAACCCAUAUGGGAUUAGCUAGUAGGUGGGGUAAAGGCUCACCUAGGCGACGAUCUCUAGCUGGUCUGAGAGGAUGAUCAGCCACACUGGGACUGAGACACGGCCCAGACUCCUACGGGAGGCAGCAUG
rnacentral:rRNA from 1 species